rnacentral:rRNA from 1 species
AUGUAUGUGUCCAAGUGGAGAAAACUUCUCAAGGAUCAAGAUGCCAGUAUCAAGAAUCACAAACACUUCAAACAGGAAAAGUACUUGCAGCAAGAACUGCCAGCUGCCUUGCACUCAAGUCAUUUUCUUUCAACCUGCAAUUACAUAAAAAAUGGCAUUACACUGCUUGAAUGGUUUCUAGAACAAAAACAUGGUAAACCAAGAGAAAUACAAACCCAUGUAUAUAAAGGUAUGAUGAAUCAGUCAGCAGCUCCUUCUCAUAUAGUUGCAAGCAAAUUUCAUUGCUGCGCUUGCAAACCUGCAGUAAUGGCAGACAUCUGA